UACGAAGGGGGCUAGCGUUGUUCGGAAUCACUGGGCGUAAAGGGCGCGUAGGCGGCCGAUCAAGUCGGGGGUGAAAGCCUGUGGCUCAACCACAGAAUUGCCUUCGAUACUGUUUGGCUUGAGACCGGAAGAGGUAAGUGGAACUGCGAGUGUAGAGGUGAAAUUCGUAGAUAUUCGCAAGAACACCAGUGGCGAAGGCGGCUUACUGGUCCGGUUCUGACGCUGAGGCGCGAAGGCCAGGGGAGCAAACGGG
rnacentral:rRNA from 1 species